rnacentral:rRNA from 1 species
AGACUYGACGGUGUCCCAAAUCCCUCUAGAGGAGCCUGUCCCAGAAUUGAUGAUCCGCGUAAACCUUACCAGCUCUAGCUUAACAGUCUGUAUACUUCCGUCGCAAGUCUGCCACGUGAGUGGAAAUCAGCAGGCAAAAUGUUUUUUUACAGUAUGUCAGGUCAAAGUGCAGCAAAUGGGUUGGUGGAGAUGGGCUACACUUUCUAWUWUAGAAGAUACGAAAGACUCUAUGAAAAUUAGUCGGAAGGUGGAUUUAGUAGUAAGAAGAAAACWSKWYGUUCUUUUUAAUAUGGCRRUGGGGUGCGYMCACACCGCCCSUCA